rnacentral:lncRNA from 1 species
CAAGGACACAUCACUAGCAGGUGGCAGAUCGAGGGUUCAAGCCUGGGUCAUCUGGCUGCAUAGUUUGGGGUUUUAAAAACCAUCCACCUCUCUCAGAGUCAACACUCCAGCUAUCCUGUGGUUGCCCUGAUUUGAACACUUUCCAACCUGCUUCCAUCUCGCAACUUCUAACUGGUUAUUCAUCCUUCAGAUUUCAAACGAAAUGAUGCCUC